AGUGAACGCUGGCGGUAGGCCUAACACAUGCAAGUCGAACGGCAGCACAGUAAGAGCUUGCUCUUACGGGUGGCGAGUGGCGGACGGGUGAGGAAUACAUCGGAAUCUACUUUUUCGUGGGGGAUAACGUAGGGAAACUUACGCUAAUACCGCAUACGACCUACGGGUGAAAGCAGGGGAUCUUCGGACCUUGCGCGAUUGAAUGAGCCGAUGUCGGAUUAGCUAGUUGGCGGGGUAAAGGCCCACCAAGGCGACGAUCCGUAGCUGUUCUGAGAGGAUGAUCAGCCACACUGGAAAUGAGACACGGUCCAGACUCCUACGGGAGGCAGCAGUGGGGAAUAUUGGACAAUGGGCGCAAGCCUGAUCCAGCCAUACCGCGUGGGUGAAGAAGGCCUUCGGGUUGUAAAGCCCUUUUGUUGGGAAAGAAAAGCAGCAGGUUAAUACCCCGCUGUUCUGACGGUACCCAAAGAAUAAGCACCGGCUAACUUCGUG
rnacentral:rRNA from 1 species